UUGGCCCAGUGCCUCCUUGCAGUCUGUGGAUUGUGCAACUGCCUUCUGUGGCUCAGGGACAUGACAGCCCCAUCCAGCUUAUAAAUGACUGAAGACAGAGAUCCAGCAUAGUCUUCAUUUGAAUUCUCUGAGACAGGACCUCACUCCGUUACGCAGGCUGGAGUUCAAUGCCACAGUCAUUACUUCACUGCAGCCUCAAACUCCUGGGCUUAAGCAAUCCUCCCGCCUCAGCCUCCUGAUUAGGUAAGACUAUAGGUGCACACCAUCACACUCAGCUAGUUUUUAGUAGAGGCAGGGUUCUCACUAUGUUGCCCAGGCUCGUCUUGAACUCCUGGCCUCAAGCAAUCCUCCCACCAUGGCCUUCCAAAGUGCUGAGAUUAUAAGUGUGAGCCACCAUGCCUAGCCUACUGACAUUGUUUUUCAACUUCUUAGUUUCUUUAAGGGUGUUUUCUCUUUAUUUUAUCUUGAUGACCCACCGCUUUCACAAGUCAAUGAAAACAAUAUACUGGCUUGGUGAAAACAGUUCCAGAUCCACCUGAAGAGACUUGGGUGCUCUGGGUUUCAGAAAGGCCAGGGUUAAAUGUGCACCCGGGCCCCUG
rnacentral:lncRNA from 10 species